GAUGAACGCUGGCGGCGUGCCUAAUACAUGCAAGUCGAGCGAACAGAUGAGGAGCUUGCUCCUCUGACGUUAGCGGCGGACGGGUGAGUAACACGUGGAUAACCUACCUAUAAGACUGGGAUAACUUCGGGAAACCGGAGCUAAUACCGGAUAAUAUAUUGAACCGCAUGGUUCAAUAGUGAAAGACGGUUUUGCUGACACUUAUAGAUGGAUCCGCGCCGCAUUAGCUAGUUGGUAAGGUAACGGCUUACCAAGGCAACGAUGCGUAGCCGACCUGAGAGGGUGAUCGGCCACACUGGAACUGAGACACGGUCCAGACUCCUACGGGAGGCAGCAGUAGGGAAUCUUCCGCAAAGGGCGAAAGCCUGACGGAGCAACGCCGCGUGAGUGAUGAAGGUCUUCGGAUCGUAAAACUCUGUUAUUAGGGAAGAACAAAUGUGUAAGUAACUAUGCACGUCUUGACGGUACCUAAUCAGAAAGCCACGGCUAACUACGUG
rnacentral:rRNA from 1 species